UUUCAGGAUUUCCCCAGAUUAGACCGCGGAGUGUACAGACAGGAAGCUGAAGUAUUGAGCGCCUGACCAGAGCUUCCUCCUGUGCAAGAGUGGGGGUUUCUCCAACUUGAAUCUUUAGCUCUACAAGCACGGUCUGAGUCUUGAGGUCCAAAGGAUAAAAAGCACCCGAAUCUCUCAGCUGGAUCCUCCGAGCGUGGAGAAUGGAGUACUGCACUUAAGCCCUGCUUGCAAGAGAACAAAGCGGAGUGAUGUAAAAUAGAAAACGAGAAAAGCAAACCUUUGGUGAUUGAAGAGGAGGAAGGAAAAUGAAAGAGAAAAAGCUGAAGAGUGGGAAAAAGAUAAAAUAAAAUGAAUUUUGGGGAUUCCACUGUGAGUAAGAGCUGAAAAAAAAAAGUAAGCUGAUUUAUUACAUGUUUAUCUUCUGCCUGAGAGUCAGUGAGCCUUGUGUAUGUGAGGGGCGAACUGCACAUUAAAGAUUGAAUCAAAAAGCCAGAUUCUUCCCCAAUUCCUCCAGCUUUAAGCAAGCGUAGUUCUGACAGCUCCGAUGGAUUUACAUUCUGUAAACAGCAGCGGAAUCAAGAUCAAGUCCUUUAAGUCAUUUUGAGUUAUAUUUAUGCUGAAGUUAUGAGAAAUUUAGAAUGACUUUUAAAUAAUGUCUUGUCAGGGAAGCUGCACAUUUUCUAAUGCUCCUCUAAACUGAGCAGGAAUUUUGUUAUGGUCAUUGCGUUGCUGUUGUGACUUUAUUCUGAAUCCAAUGGCAGUACAGAAAGAAGGGGUGAUGUUAUUGUUAUGUGCAUCCGUAUUUUCCUUGCAUUAUGAUUUAUGCAUAUUCAUUUUUAUUUUAAAUGUGCAUCUUAACAACUAUUUAAACAGGGAGAUGGCAUGAGCUAAUUGAUGUAAGUAUUUUUUUUUUCUCUCCAUCAAAUGCCACUGAUUUUCAAAGAGCGGUGUUUGACAGCAGCCAGAGGGUUUAGCUGGCUACACCUUGCUUUCUUUCACAUUAAUCCUUUACUCUUUUGCAGGUUUAUUUCUUCGUUUGCAUGCUCUGAGCUUAGCUGGGCAUCCAAAAGAUUGUUUUAUAGUAUGGAGGGACAGAGGAAGCACCACAGGUUUUCUUGAUGAAAUUUUCAAGCUUUUGUAGGUGUAGAGAUGGGCUCCUGGAGCCUGCAGGAUAAGGCAGCUCCCAUCCCUGUCUUUCUCCACCUAAUGAGACAGUUUUUCAUUGUAGAAGAAAACAUGGCUAAUUGUCACAGCCAAAAGUCCAGACUAUUGUCAGGACCAGCUAUAUUUCAGCUGCAUUAAUCUGGCAGAAUAGUGAGAUUUCAUUUUUCUGUGGGAAAUUAUGAUUAAAAAGUGAAUUAUUUUGAUAAGAAAAAUUUACCCUUUUAUGUUCUUUUAUCGGCCAGAUUAAAUUUGUAAUCCACCUUUUUCCAUAAUUAGGAAAAAAAAAAAAAAAAGGAGAAAAGUCAGCUUUCAUUACUGAAAUAGAUUUUCUGGAAGACUUUUGAUCCAAUUCCUUAACAUGAAAAGGCUGCAGCUACUCUCUCCCACGCAGUGUUUCAGAUGCCUGUGUUCCAUUGCAGCUUACACUAGGGCUGAGUGCUUGGGCAGCAGAGCCUGGAGCUCCUGGAACUGCGGGAUUAAGCUGUGGUGGGGACUAUUUGGCAGGACAGAGGUUUCAAUUGUAUCAGUGGCUGCCUGUGGUCUUUGAGGGGGAAUUCAGUAAGCUGCUGAAAACUAUUUCUAAGCUUGGAUUCUUUAGUGAACACUGGAUAGCCAACUCCACACCAGCAAGUUGAGCAAUGUCAUGCCAAAAAGUUUGUGCUGAAAUCAAAGAGUGUCUUUACUUUUCACUGUAUUCAUUUCUAGCAGUCAACACACUUGGUUAAAUGUUCGAGAGUUGGUCGUGUUGAAUCUGAAUGGCACCUAGAACUAUUUUCUUUAAAAUCAGCCCUGGUGAGCUCAAGGGGAGCCAGAUUUAACAUCGUGGUGAGCAAAUCCUGGUGGAGGACAGGCUGACUCCCCACGGGCUGUUUGCAUCAGCGCUUCUCAGCCUUCUUUAAUGGGGCCUUUUUGGAAAAGCCACGGCUGGACCAUUUCCCAUGCACAACAAGGAGCCGUCUGCACCUGCAGGCGCUCACUGGCAGCAUCCAGAGAGCAGCUCCCGGCUCCGUCUGCCAACACUGGUGCUUCUCUGCCAAACGGAGCAGAUAUUGUGGUUUGUGUCUUCUAAAUGAGCUCGUGCACACAGCUCACACGGGUUCUGGCAUCGAUAGCAAGCAGUGGGCUGCAGCCCACAGGCUCUGUAGCACCCACCCAGCUCCCAGCGGUGUCACGCCUGCACCUGGUCAUGAGCCAGAGUUCUUGGGCUGUUGCUUUCAAUGUUGUGUGCCUGUCUCUGAAUAGCUACAGCCAGUCUGCACAAUACUUGAGCUGUUUCAUUAUUCUAAUUUUAUCUGUAGUUGAUUUCAGUGAAUUCAUGUUGAAACGGGCUAUAUCUGAACGGGAAGUGCUAUUGCUCUUCAUGGCUUAUUUUCAGUAGCUACAGUAUAGUUACAGUAUAAAUACAGCCAUCUCUUAUGGAAUCGUAGGAUCACUGGAGUCUGAAGGGAUGUUUAAAGGCCUUUGAAUCCAAUUCCCCUUCCUAGAUUUCAGCUCCAGUGUUUAUAUUUCAAGUAUUUCGAUUCUGAGCCUGUCUGAAGAAAAAAUAUCUCCAGCUUCUAAUGGAUUUCUAACAUUACAAUUGUUUAUUAUAAUAAAUAAUUGAAUAAUAAUAGCCUAAUAUAAGUAAAAAUAAAAUCCUUGCUGGGUGAUCAUGGCAUUCCUUAUUUAAAUAAUGCAAUAAUUACAAAAACAUUUUAAUUAAUCAAAACAAUUAAUGUUUGCCUGUUUUUCAGCUACUUAUGCAGAGCCUAACCAUUUGGGGUUAGUGAUAAUCAGCACAGCAGUUACACAGGGACAAAGGCUAGUAAGUACCUGUGUCAUUGCCUCAGAUGGAACAAUGCCAGUUCUUUUGAAUUCUUAAAAAUGUGGAAAUUGGAAGGGAGCAAGGAAUAGCCAUCUAGUCUCUCCUGCUUGCUUUUUCCCCUUCUCUCUGUGUUGCUGGAUGUUUAGAUUGUGUCUGACAUGUAUGGCUGGAUCAGUCCUUUCUGGUGUCUGGUUCCACUAUGUGCAUCAGGAAUUGGUUCAGGUGAGCAGCUCAUAGUGCCACGUGUUGGGAUACAGCACAUGCCUCGCACCCAGCAUCUGCAGCACGUGCCUGGUUGGAUAACUGAGCAGAGGGAAGAAGCGCUGCUGGAUUUGGGACCGGCUCCAUGCAUGAAAAGUUUAAAAAAGCCUCUAAAGCCAACUUACCUUGAAAAUGACUGGGAUUAUGAAGAUGCACCCAUCCAUACCGGCAGUUUAGGAAUUUAAGUUAGACAGUGGCUGUGCUGGUGGAGAACCCAGGUGGGAUGUCCUUCAGGUGGAACAACUGGGACAGUAGAUGUGUCACAAAGUCAGCAGCCUAACUGGGAGGACUGAACUGGUCUGAGGUUAACACAAGACAUUUGCUUUGCAAGAGAAAUUGUUCAAGAAGAGUAUUUUAAAAAUCUGUUGCUUGGAUGACUAGCUUAAUAGCCUAAGAAAACAAUUACAGCAGUAAAGCCAUGGGCACGCUGCGGGAUGCUGAAGCAGCCAAGCUGCUGGAUGCUGUGCCAAGCACUGAGCUGGGGCUCUGCCCACUGCGGGUGCCGCUCCAUCAGCUGCAAAAGUGGCACAGGCUGUUUGAAAAUCACUCAUUUCACUCCGCUCAGCACCUGGAGGAAAGCCAAGCACCGGGGAGAGAGAGCAGAGGAUGAGAUAGUGCCGUGUCAGAACGGCCUUGAAAAGGAUGUCGUGUAUCCUCAGCUUUGAGAACUGAAUUCCAUGGGUUGUAAUUGAAUCCUUUGUCAGACCCAUGGGGCUCAGUUCUUCAGCUUGGAUAUUUCUGUCUUCACAUACACAGAAGAUCAAAGAAGCACUUGAUCAUACGCUGACUCUUCCGGAUUCUGAUAGCAGCAACUAGGAAAGAGAAAGAAUAACUGAUGUGAAUCACUCUGACAGGGAGGUUUCACUGCAAAGACCAGGCUCUCUCAUGUCAAGUAGCUUCACAGCGAUUGAACCUCUCCGUGGCUGAUGGUCUGUCCCUGCAUUGCUGCUUGCUGGUAAAUUCAACUCCCCUUUCAGUUUCAUCAAAGUUACACAUGGAGUGCUGAGAUGAUGUUGACUGAAUUAUGCUUCCCAAAAAUUGCGUGGUGCUGCUCAAUGUGGCUCUGGUCCCACAUGGCACUGACAGGUCUACCCACUGUUGGUCUGCUGCAGCCUCCUGUCUGGGAUCUGUUGCACAGCUACUGUUUCCUCUUUUUUUGGCCCCCUGGAGGUGGUCUCAUUCAAAUUAUGUGCUGACAAAGUUUGUUUUUCUUCCUUGGAAGAUCUGUGUUAAAGUUGAUUUUCUUUCAGGUGUCAUGAAAAUAAAAUUUAUGGUCUUCAAACAUGUAAA